rnacentral:rRNA from 1 species
UACGGGGGGUGCAAGCGUUGUCCGGAAUCAUUGGGCGUAAAGCGUUCGUAGGCGGCAAGGUAAGUCUGAUGUUAAAGCCCGGGGCUCAACUCCGGUUCGGCAUUGGAUACUAUCUAGCUAGAAUGUGGUAGAGGUAAAGGGAAUUCCUGGUGUAGCGGUGAAAUGCUUAGAUAUCAGGAGGAACAUCGGUGGCGUAAGCGCUUUACUGGGCCGUAAUUGACGCUGAGGAACGAAAGCCAGGGUAGCAAAUGGG